rnacentral:tRNA from 1 species
GCCUGGGUGGCUCAGUCGGUUGAGCAUCCGACUUUGGCUCAGGUCAUGAUCUCCACGUUUGUGAGUUCGAGCCCCACAUUGGGCU